GUUAGUCGGGUCCUAAGCUGAGGCCGACAGGCGUAGGCGAUGGAUAACAGGUUGAUAUUCCUGUACCACCUAUAAUCGUUUUAAUCGAUGGGGGGACGCAGUAGGAUAGGCGAAGCGUGCGAUUGGAUUGCACGUCUAAGCAGUAAGGCUGAGUAUUAGGCAAAUCCGGUACUCGUUAAGGCUGAGCUGUGAUGGGGAGAAGACAUUGUGUCUUCGAGUCGUUGAUUUCACACUGCCGAGAAAAGCCUCUAGAUAGAAAAUAGGUGCCCGUACCGCAAACCGACACAGGUAGUCAAGAUGAGAAUUCUAAGGUGAGCGAGCGAACUCUCGUUAAGGAACUCGGCAAAAUGACCCCGUAACUUCGGGAGAAGGGGUGCUCUUUAGGGUUAACGCCCAGAAGAGCCGCAGUGAAUAGGCCCAAGCGACUGUUUAUCAAAAACACAGGUCUCUGCUAAACCGUAAGGUGAUGUAUAGGGGCUGACGCCUGCCCGGUGCUGGAAGGUUAAGAGGAGUGGUUAGCUUCUGCGAAGCUACGAAUCGAAGCCCCAGUAAACGGCGGCCGUAACUAUAACGGUCCUAAGGUAGCGAAAUUCCUUGUCGGGUAAGUUCCGACCCGCACGAAAGGCGUAACGAUUUGGGCACUGUCUCAACGAGAGACUCGGUGAAAUCAUAGUACCUGUGAAGAUGCAGGUUACCCGCGACAGGACGGAAAGACCCCGUGGAGCUUUACUGUAGCCUGAUAUUGAAAUUCGGCACAGCUUGUACAGGAUAGGUAGGAGCCUUUGAAACGUGAGCGCUAGCUUACGUGGAGGCGCUGGUGGGAUACUACCCUAGCUGUGUUGGCUUUCUAACCCGCACCACUUAUCGUGGUGGGAGACAGUGUCAGGCGGGCAGUUUGACUGGGGCGGUCGCCUCCUAAAAGGUAACGGAGGCGCUCAAAGGUUCCCUCAGAAUGGUUGGAAAUCAUUCAUAGAGUGUAAAGGCAUAAGGGAGCUUGACUGCGAGACCUACAAGUCGAGCAGGGUCGAAAGACGGACUUAGUGAUCCGGUGGUUCCGCAUGGAAGGGCCAUCGCUCAACGGAUAAAAGCUACCCCGGGGAUAACAGGCUUAUCUCCCCCAAGAGUUCACAUCGACGGGGAGGUUUGGCACCUCGAUGUCGGCUCAUCGCAUCCUGGGGCUGUAGUCGGUCCCAAGGGUUGGGCUGUUCGCCCAUUAAAGCGGUACGCGAGCUGGGUUCAGAACGUCGUGAGACAGUUCGGUCCCUAUCCGUCGUGGGCGUAGGAAAUUUGAGAGGAGCUGUCCUUAGUACGAGAGGACCGGGAUGGACAUACCUCUGGUGUACCAGUUGUCGUGCCAACGGCAUAGCUGGGUAGCUAUGUGUGGACGGGAUAAGUGCUGAAAGCAUCUAAGCAUGAAGCCCCCCUCAAGAUGAGAUUUCCCAACUUCGGUUAUAAGAUCCCUCAAAGAUGAUGAGGUUAAUAGGUUCGAGGUGGAAGCAUGGUGACAUGUGGAGCUGACGAAUACUAAUCGAUCGAAGACUUAAUCAA
rnacentral:rRNA from 1 species